CGGACGGGUGAGUAACGCGUGGAAAACCUGCCGUAUACUGGGGGAUAACACUUAGAAAUAGGUGCUAAUACCGCAUAAGCGCACAGCUUCGCAUGAAGCGGUGUGAAAAACUCUGGUGGUAUACGAUGGUUCCGCGUCUGAUUAGCUAGUUGGUGGGGUAAUGGCCUACCAAGGCAAUGAUCAGUAGCCGGCCUGAGAGGGUGAACGGCCACAUUGGGACUGAGACACGGCCCAAACUCCUACGGAAGGCAGCAG
rnacentral:rRNA from 1 species